rnacentral:hammerhead_ribozyme from 1 species
AUCCAGAUGCAAAGUCUUAAAUAGGACGAAACGCGGGUCCUGGAU